GGGAAGGGAGGCGGGUUCAUUGGGCAUGAUGAAGUUCGGCUGCGCCGCGCCGCUUUUUCAAUGUCCGAGGGAAGUAAUCUGUACGAAGUGACGAUCAGCCGCGAUGGGGGAAGGGGAAUUCCAGGAAACAAGAAGUAUUUGAUUGUGGACUUCAGGAAGGGGAAUUCCAGGAAACACACAUCAGCCAUCAUCGAGGAAUCAGCAGGAGAAAGAGUGAGCAGUUUUCAAGUUCCUGGGUGUCAACAUCUCUGAACCUCUACCCUAGGACCAAUCUAUUCAUGCAAAUACAAAGAAGCUCAGCCUUGAUCAUGCCCGAGGUAUACCCCUGAUGAAACAUUGACAGAGAACUGUGUAAUGGCACAUAAUGAUGACGGGGAUAGGAUCUCGCCAGCUCCAACCUCCUUGACGUCGUUCGAAGCAGUGGAAGAAGCAGACAUUAUUCACUGGAUAAAUGAACCAAACGGACUAGGCCACCUCAGUCGCAGUAGCAGCACCAACGACCCAGAGCUGUGUUCUGUGUCCGAGACCCCAGAAUUGUAUAAUGGCCGCACUUUAUCAGUCCUCACUUCCAGUGCCAAUUGGUGGUCUCGGGGAUUCGAUCUCGAGUCAUGUGAGGAUAAUCUUGCCCGAUUUGGAAUCCAGAUACCACCGGAAGAUUACAAGCUGCCCAUUGAAGCAUCCCUGAUGACCUCUGAAGUCAGAAGAUACAUGUACUUCAGUUCCAGUGGCUUCCUGAUGCUCUUCGCCCCCGUUUUCUAUAUCGCCACGUGGUGCUGCCUGUUCUCCACCUUUCAUGUCUACAUGAGCCAGUAUCUGAAGAGUUUCUUCUGGGCUUUCUGCCUGCUGGUCAGUGCCGUCGCCGUGCUGCUCACCACAGCUCUGCUUCUCAUUCUGCGCUCACACUACAGCAGGAUUAAUGUGAACACAGAUGUGCGUCUCAUGUGGGCCAACGAGAGCCUGGCAAAGCACAACAUCUUGGUCGGAGUACUGGACGUGACAAGAUACUGCACAAGUGUACUACAUCUUUGUCUCAUUUACUUCAACCUUGAGGAGUGCAAGGCGAGGCUCGCUGCUCUGCUGGAAGCAAGACAUCUCUCAGGCCCUGGGCUCCAGUCCUUUCUGCGUCAGAAGCUGGGACACCUCUGCAUCGUGGUGGAAACGAGCCAAGUGAGUCCUCUGAUUGAGGUGGAUGCAGGGUCUGAAGAGGCUCCACUGUUACCCGGGAACGGUGACGGGGCUCUCAGUAAUGGCAAUCAGCAACCACAGCACGUUUUUAACACAUUGACGUGCCUGGUCCCUGAAGGUACAUCUGAGGAGAUCGCCUACCAGCUGCUGCUCACAUUCAGUGGACUUUAUGUAAAGCUACACGUUCUGAAGCAGCUGCCUCGCACCAGGGCUUCCGUUCACACGGACGUGGCGCACGUCCCUUGUCUUUGCCAGUACGUCGAGACUUCAGUAUUGAACCUAUCAGGUGGCGAGCCGUAGGCAUCAACUUAACUGUGAACUUUAACUGUGAACGCAGGUAGCAAUGUCGGACUUUGAACAGCAACCGUGUUGAGCGAUCUGCUAGGCCGAGUGCAAUUGAAUCUGGAAAUUAUAAGGACGCUUCUGGUAAUGGUCUCCAACUUCCCUCAGCAUUUCCUGUUCCCUUUCCCUCUAUCAUCUCAUCUCCUUGCCUGCCCAUCACCUCCCUCUGGUGCUCCUCCCCCUUCCCUUUCUUCCAUGGCCUUCUGUCCUCUUCUAUCAGAGUCCCCCUUCUCCAACCCUUUAUCUCUUUCAGCUAUCGACUUCCCAGCUCUUCACUUCACCCCUCCCCUUCUCCCGGUUUCACCUAUCACCUACUACCUUGUACUUCUUCCUCUCCCCCCGCCCCCCACCUUCUUACUCUGACUUUACAUCGCUUCUUCUCCAGUCCUGAUGAAGGGUCUCGGCCCAGAACAUCGACUGUUUACUCUUUUCCAGAGGCGGUGCCUGGCCUGCUGAGUUCCUCCAGCAUUUUGUGUGUGUUGCUUACAAGGACACUUGUAUGUCUGUUGAUCAGCCGCCCAUCUGCUGAUGCCAGUGACUUUGGCAUCUCAUCAAGGAGUGUGAACAGAGAACAGUACAGGCCCUUUGGGCCACGGAGUGCUGACCUAUUAACCGACGCUAGAAUUAAUCCAACCCUUCCCUCCCAAUAACCCUCCAUAUUUCUAUCAUCCAUGUGUCUGCCUCCACCACCACCACCCAAGGCGGAGCAUUCCACGCAUUCACCACUCUCUGUAAAAAACCAGUAAUUACCUAGUAAAACCUAGGAGCAUAAUUAGGCCAUUCAGCCCAUCCGUCUGUUCUGCCAUUCCAUCAUUUAUUUUCCCUCUCAACAUUUUCCUGCCUUCUCCCCUUAAACUUUAAUGCUGUUACUAACCAAUAAACUGUUAAUAUCUGCCUUAAAUAUAUCCCAUGACUUGGUCUCGGUAGCCAUCUGUGGCAAUGAGUUCCACAGAUUCACCUCCCUCGGGCUGAAGAAAUUCCUCCUCAUCUCACAGCUGACAUCCACUCUCGCGUCUGGAGUUUACUCAGUCUUUUGCACUUUGUCUUGUUUAUCCACAGCUGAUCCACACCCACUGGGUGGGGCAGUUGGAAUUCCCCACAUCUUUCUGUCUUUUCUUCCUCCCCUUCCCCCCACCAAAUAUUUUUUUAUCUCUGCACCCUGGUAGCCACACCCAGCAGGAGAAUCAUGGGGCAUUGCCCAGUUUCCAACCCAUUUGACAUUGGUGGAAAGCUGCAGGUUGAACUGUGAGCAGCUGUGACGGAAUUCGUUGCAGUUCACUGUGGUGGGAGUGUUAUACAACUGUAACUGGUCUGUCCAUGGUCACCUCUAUUGCCACGAUGAGUCCACUCUCAGCUGGAAGGGAAACACCUCAUUGCUCGCCUGGGUGGCUUCCUGCCUGAUGGCAUGAACAUCGAUUUCUCACCCCUCCCUCCUCUCUUUUUCCAUUCCCCACUCUGGCUCCCCUCUCUUCAUCGCCCAAAAGAAAAAUCGGAGAUGAGGAUGAGAACUCUGACCGAAUUUAUCCCCCCACGACCAGGCUCUGUGAUUAUUGCUUAAUGCUUAUCUGCUCGGAAUGUGAACUGACAUCUCCCUGCGGAUGCAGGCUGCGUUCUGAUUAUUUGGAACACUUCACUCGUAAGUUUGUUUCUGGAUGAAUUGCGUGAAUCAGCAUUGCAAAUGAGACAGAUUUGUCGGAGCCUGCCAUUGAACCAAUGAGGAACCGCGGCCGCGGAUGACUGGCGGCUGGGCUGGUCGGCCUGGUGUAUAUUGUGUUGUAGGUCCCCCCUACGCCUCAAAGGUCGGCCUUUAUUUGGACGCAUCGCGUUACAGCAGCUGUGGCAGUUCAAGGCGGAAGUGUCCGACUGAGCGAAGGCAUUCAUUGACUGGUUUUUCUUUCUGGAGAGAAAGAACCUAAAAGCAGGAACAAAAGAUGGCCUGACUAAUCAUAGAAGGCUGCCGCUAUCUGGCAGACAAGAUUGGCAGUGCUUUAAGCUCCUCCAGUAAGACCAAGGCUCAAAGCAGCCAAGUCAAAGGUGCAAAGUAUGUUCUGGCGAAUACAUCACAGAAUGAUGAUUUGCUCCCAACACUGCCGAAAUCCGGACCUGUGGUCAAGCAGUGUGGGUCCUGAGGGUAAAGGCUGCACUGGUCUCGCUCCUGGCGACGCAGAUCAGUGCAUUAUGGUGGCUUCCUGACAAGACUACAUACUGUACGUGCAUCAUGGCAAAGAAUGACGAUUUCCUCAGUAACUCCCUGCCCAGGGAGAUGAGCACUUCUGAAAAUACGUGCUGUGUUUUUAAAGUUUUCCAAUUAAAAAUCACUUGUACUUAA